UACGGAGGGUGCGAGCGUUGUCCGGAAUCAUUGGGCGUAAAGGGCGCGUAGGUGGCGGGACAAGCGUGCGGUGAAAGCCUGGGGCUCAACCCCGGGUCGGCCGUGCGAACUGUUUUGCUUGAGCACUGUAGAGGCAGGCGGAAUUCCGGGUGUAGCGGUGGAAUGCGUAGAGAUCGGGAAGAACAUCGGUGGCGAAGGCGCUCUACUGGACCACAACUGACACUCAGGGACGAAAGCUAGGGGAGCGAAUGGG
rnacentral:rRNA from 1 species